AGAGCUGGAGCUUAACUGAAGCUAACUCUGUUCCAGUCUUCGGUUACACGUAUGUUGUAACAUUGAGAAUAGAGUGAUUCAGCAACAUGUGAUACAAAGUUAUCAGUGCUGCUGAUUGACCAGGCCAGUAGUAUGCAACGAAGCCAGUUGUGGCUGAUUGGAUUAUCCUCUGACUUUUAUGAACUGGAAUGAAAUGCUGAUAGCUUCUUACUUUGGAGGACUUCUGUAGAAGGGGGGGGUGGUGGAGAGGAGAGUUCCAAAGAAUCUGAAACAAAGCUUUUUAUCUACUUGCGAAGAUUUAUCUAGUCGUGAAGAGGGAGUUUUUAGCUAACGGAAGCUGCCGCAUUGUCCCCAGGAAAUAAUGCUUUAUCCAGAAUGGAAUAUCUCCAUGAAAAGAUAUGGUGCCUUCUGCCUGUUUUGUCCCUCAUUCGCUCAGUAGUCAGUGUAGAUCCUGUCCCUUUCAAUCAGCAGCUACAUCUGGCUACUGGGUCUCUGAUGGCAUCUUAGAGCUUCUCUCCCAAUCUUCUAGUGAAGACUGAUUGACACUUCUUGGAUAAUGAGGAUUUUGUCUUAUCUUCAACAUAUAUAGAAAAUUCCUGGUUCUCCAGUGUGAUUCAAAUGUGGUCAUCAUCAGUGUCUUAUUUAAAUAAUCAGAAAUGAUAUAAAAAAAAAAACUGUCCUCAUUGUUGAGCUUCUGUUGAUGUUUUUAUUUCCAUGGAAUGUAUCAAUCCCUAACAUACCUUUCUAGAAAUACAAAUUUAUGUUUUUAUGGUCUUUAAGAAUAUAAUUUCUGAAUAAUGCAAUAGUUAAACUGUAGUGUUAUCUGUCUAAUGUUCCCUAAUCUAACUUUUUGUCUUAAGGAAAUCCAACUUGCUUUUUUAUUUGUAACUUCUGGUCUUUGUAUUUACUCUAUAUAAGAUGAGUAGCAUAAAUUCAUUUUGAAACAUUUAGAGCUGAAUUAUGUUAUCCAGAUGAAAAGAAUUGGUUUUGUAGGAAGAACAUCCAGGUUUGGGGCAUGAACCUGGCAUACAAUGUAGAAUUCUGUGUUUAUUAAGUAACAGCUACAUUGUCUGCUGGGUUUCAGGCUACCUGGGAAUAUACAUCUAACUACUGUCUGUAGUCCAGACUUCAUAUUUGAUGUUGUGACUACUUGUUUAACAGAAAUAAAAGAAAAUUCAUGGAAUUUGCCUUUGGGAAGAUUUAAAGGAAAUUUCUUUUUUAAAAGGUGAUUUUUAUUGUGAUUUCAUAUUUAAAUGACCAUCCAUAAUAAUAACAACAGUUUACAGAGAAGAGUAUUGUUAAACAAAGCCACCUACUCUUAAAGUUUUUAAAUGUUUUAAAUUUUAAUUUAAAAGUAUAAUGAAUUCUCAAAUCUUUUUUUCUUUCCCCCCAAAAACUCCCCUCUCCAACUCAGAAACAUUUAUUACAUUUACUUAUUUGGUCACUCACUACUUAUUUAUUUGUAUAUAUGAUUCCUGUAAUUCUAUGUACUAAGACUGUAAAUAAAAUAAAACCGCUGCCUUCCCAUA